GACCAUCCUGGUCUCCAGUGCACGACCCUGAACCCAGAUCACCUGCAUUGUUUUAUCCUGAUUUGUUUCAUCCUUCUCCUCUGUCUCAUCUUCCUGGUCUGCUACUUUUAUAACAAAGCUAAAGGCCAGUGGGGCUCAGUGAGUCACACCUCCAGGACUGCUGAGCAGCGCUGCUGAGGAAGAGCUCUGACUGACAGCAGAGGGGAAGCAGGACCAGCCGACACGAUCAGGGAAAACCUGAUGAGUUCUCGGAUGGAGAUCAAAUUACCCAAGAAGCGAGACCAAAAAAGAGGAGAAGAUGCACAGGAUACUGUCUGGGCAACAAUUAAGUGACGGGUUUGUUUAUUCCUGAAAUGCUGAGCACAGAACAGAAAACACCCACCAUCUGUAAAUUGUAGGAUUUAUUAAGUUAUUUUUUAUUUUUUAAAUAUAACUUAAUGACAUUAACUAAUCCAGUUUGGCAAGAUUGAUUACCCAGACUUGUAGAUAAGCAAGUCUUUACAGGAAUUAAAUAAAAACUACAUAUUUGUCUCCACCAU